GUCCACGCCCUAAACGGUGCACACUAGGUCUUGGCGGAUUCGACCCCACCAGGGCCCAAGCUAACGCGUUAAGUGUGCCGCCUGAGGACUACGGCCGCAAGGCUAAAACUCAAAGGAAUUGACGGGGGCCCGCACAAGCUGUGGAGCAUGUGGCUUAAUUCGAUGCAACGCGAAGAACCUUACCUAGCCUUGACAUGCACUAGACAUACGCUGAAAGGCGUACUCCCUUCGGGGCUGGUGCACAGGUGCUGCAUGGCUGUCGU
rnacentral:rRNA from 1 species